UACGAAGGGGGCUAGCGUUGCUCGGAAUCAUUGGGCGUAAAGAGCGCGUAGGCGGUCCGGUAAGUUCGCUCUGAAAGUCCGGGGCUCAACCCCGGGAGGCGGGCGGAUACUGUCGGGCUAGAGUCCGGAAGAGGCGAGUGGAAUUCCUGGUGUAGCGGUGAAAUGCGCAGAUAUCAGGAGGAACACCGAUGGCGAAGGCAGCUCGCUGGGACGGUACUGACGCUGAGGCGCGAAAGCGUGGGGAGCAAACAGG
rnacentral:rRNA from 1 species